GAUGAACGCUGGCGGCGUGCCUAACACAUGCAGGUCGAGCGGAGUUAUAAGGAGUGCUUGCACUAAUUAUAACUUAGCGGCGGACGGGUGAGUAACACGUGGAUAAUCUGGCCUUUACUGGGGGACAACAGUGGGAAACCACUGCUAAUACCGCAUAAGAUCCCAUGGUGGCAUCACUGAGGGAUGAAAGAUUAAUUGGUAAAGGAUGAGUCCGCGUCUGAUUAGCUAGUUGGUGGGGUAAAGGCCUACCAAGGCGAUGAUCAGUAGCCGACCUGAGAGGGUGAUCGGCCACAUUGGGACUGAGACACGGCCCAAACUCCUACGGGAGGCAGCAGUGGGGAAUAUUGCACAAUGGGGGGAACCCUGAUGCAGCAACGCCGCGUGAAGGAAGAAGGCUUUCGGGUCGUAAACUUCUUUAGGCUGGGAAGAAAGAUGACGGUACCAGCAGAAUAAGCCCCGGCUAACUACGUGCCAGCAGCCGCGGUAAUACGUAGGGGGCAAGCGUUAUCCGGAAUUACUGGGUGUAAAGGGUGAGUAGGCGGUUAUAUAAGUCACAUGUGAAAGCCCGGGGCUCAACCUCGGGACUGCAUGAGAAACUGUGUAACUAGAGUACAGGAGAGGUAAGCGGAAUUCCUAGUGUAGCGGUGAAAUGCGUAGAUAUUAGGAGGAACACCAGUGGCGAAGGCGGCUUACUGGACUGUAACUGACGCUGAGUCACGAAAGCGUGG
rnacentral:rRNA from 1 species